rnacentral:rRNA from 1 species
UACGAAGGGGGCUAGCGUUGAUCGGAAUUACUGGGCGUAAAGCGCGUGUGGGCGGACUGUUAAGUCGGGGGUGAAAUCCCGGGGCUCAACCCCGGAACUGCCUUCGAUACUGGCGGUCUAGAGGUCUGGAGACGUGAGUGGAAUUCCGAGUGUAGAGGUGAAAUUCGUAGAAAUUCGGAGGAACACCAGUGGCGAAGGCGGCUCACUGGCCAGAUUUUGUCGCUGAGGUGCGAAAGCGUGGGGAGCAAACAGG